AACUUCUGAAUGUUGACCUCGGAUCAGGUAGGAAUACCCGCUGAACUUAAGCAUAUCAAUAAGCGGAGGAAAAGAAACCAACAGGGAUUGCCCUAGUAACGGCGAGUGAAGCGGCAACAGCUCAAAUUUGAAAUCUGGCUCUCGGGCCCGAGUUGUAAUUUGUAGAGGAUGCUUUUGAUGCGGUGCCUUCCGAGUUCCCUGGAACGGGACGCCAUAGAGGGUGAGAGCCCCGUCUGGUUGGAUGCCAAAUCUCUGUAAAGCUCCUUCGACGAGUCGAGUAGUUUGGGAAUGCUGCUCUAAAUGGGAGGUAUAUGUCUUCUAAAGCUAAAUACCGGCCAGAGACCGAUAGCGCACAAGUAGAGUGAUCGAAAGAUGAAAAGCACUUUGAAAAGAGAGUUAAAAAGUACGUGAAAUUGUUGAAAGGGAAGCGUUUAUGACCAGACUUGGGCUUGGUUAAUCAUCUGGGGUUCUCCCCAGUGCACUUUUCCAGUCCAGGCCAGCAUCAGUUUUCGCCGGGGGAUAAAGGCUUCGGGAAUGUGGCUCUCUCCGGGGAGUGUUAUAGCCCGUUGCGUAAUACCC
rnacentral:rRNA from 3 species